rnacentral:rRNA from 1 species
UACAGAGGGGGCAAGCGUUGUUCGGAAUUAUUGGGCGUAAAGAGCGUGUAGGCGGCCAGAUAGGUCAGCUGUGAAAACUCGAGGCUCAACCUCGAGAUGUCGGCUGAAACCAUCUGGCUAGAGUCCGGAAGAGGAGAAUGGAAUUCCCGGUGUAGCGGUGAAAUGCGCAGAUAUUGGGAAGAACACCCGUGGCGAAGGCGGUUCUCUGGGACGGUACUGACGCUGAGACGCGAAAGCGUGGGGAGCGAACAGG